UGGAGAAGAGUCUGUCAACAAAGCCAUAGAUGACUGCCUAACAUGUCAACCAAACAAGUAGUAUUUCAGCUCGAAAUUAGUAGUAUUAUGUAGGCAAGUCAUCCUUGGCUAAUAAACAAAGGCUCUUCCCU
rfam:Solanum lycopersicum cultivar Heinz 1706 chromosome 8, whole genome shotgun sequence.